CUCGGCCCUUUCGCACCAUCUGAUUUCCCUCCCUCCAAAUUCGAUGUUUCCAAUUCCCCUGACCAAAGCAUCUGUCUGAGACAAACAGGGAGGUAGAAGAAGAAGAAGAAGAGCAGCAAUGGAAGGAGUAUCCUACCAGCGUUUCCCAAAAAUCAAGAUCCGGGAAGUCAAGGACGACUACGCCAAGUUCGAGCUCCGUGAGACCGAUGCCAGCAUGGCCAACGCUCUCCGCCGUGUCAUGAUCGCCGAAGUUCCCACCGUUGCCAUUGACCUUGUCGAAAUCGAGGUUAACUCCUCUGUUCUCAAUGACGAGUUCAUCGCCCACCGACUCGGACUCAUUCCUCUCACCAGUGAGCGAGCCAUGUCCAUGCGAUUCUCUCGCGACUGUGACGCAUGCGACGGUGACGGCCAGUGCGAGUUUUGUUCCGUCGAGUUCCAUUUGCGCGCCAAAUGCAUGACCGACGAAACCCUUGAUGUUACUAGCAAGGACCUCAUCAGCUCCGACCAUACUGUUGUCCCUGUUGACUUCUCCGAUUCCUCUGGCUACGAUUCCGCUGAUAAGAAGGGAAUUAUAAUUGUGAAGCUGCGGCGAGGGCAAGAACUGAGGCUGAGAGCUAUUGCCAGAAAGGGGAUUGGGAAGGACCACGCGAAAUGGUCACCGGCGGCUACUGUUACUUUUAUGUACGAGCCUGAGAUUCAUAUCAAUGAAGAUUUGAUGGAAUCUUUGACGCUUGAGGAGAAAACAAGUUGGGUUGAGAGCAGUCCCACAAAAGUUUUUGACAUUGAUGCUAGUUCCCAACAGGUUGUUGUGGCUGAUGCUGAGGCAUACACUUAUGACGAUGAAGUGCUCAAGAAAGCAGAAGCUAUGGGGAAGCCAGGGCUUGUGGAGAUCUAUGCCAAAGAAGACAGUUUUAUAUUCACAGUUGAAUCUACUGGUGCAAUCAAAGCUUCUCAGUUGGUGCUCAAUGCAAUAGAUGUUCUUAAACAAAAGCUUGAUGCAGUGCGGCUAUCAGAGGAUACGGUAGAAGCUGAUGAUCAAUUUGGUGAACUCGGUGCUCAUAUGCGAGGAGGAUGAUCAUUUUGGACCAAACCCACAAGCUGUCAAGAUGUCCUUGGUGUGCCAUUUGGAAAUGUUUCUGGGCAGGCUGUCAUGGAAUAUGAUUAUUUUCCCUUAGUAGCAGGAUUCUCCUAUAUAGUUGGAAAAAAGAAGAGAGAAAGGUCGGGGUUGGACUACAGGGGAAUUGGUUCUUUUCCCAUCCUUACUUGGAAGACAUCAUGUGCUUAUUUGGGACAAACAGUAUUCUUUCUUCCAGAUGGAAAGAAUCUUACCUUGAGAGCAUGGUUUCAGAAUUAAAUACUAGCUACAAUGUUUUCCUGUGAUAAAUUGGACUUCCAAAGUUACUGAAGUUAAACAGGAAUUUCUUUGGAUGAAAAAUGAUUCGCAGUCUUCAAACUAUUAUCCAACAAGACAGCCUUACCAAUUUUUACGGAGGUCACGAAUUGGUCCUGAGGAUCCAUGGAUUCAAUAUCCAGAACACUUAAUUGUUGGAUUAUCUUAAUGAAAAGGAGGGAAUGAACUGUAUUGAAAGUUGUAACAUAAAAUUUUCAAAUUGGGUUCGCAGGCCUUGAUUGUGAAACGCGUCAUGCGUGACUCUGGAUCGUAGCAAAAAAAACCCCAGAUCAGCAUGUUUGUAAUGCAGGAAAAUGCCGCUAGGAAACUAAUUACCUGCUGCUGUGGUGUAAAACUGAGGGAAAUGUUAGUUUGUCUCCUGAUUUUAUUUCCAUUUAUACAAUGAGUGCGCUUCCCAGGAAA